AGUGAACGCUGGCGGCGUGCUUAACACAUGCAAGUCGAACGAGAACGGAAUAUAGCUGCUAUAUUUGUCAGCUAAGUGGCGCACGGGUGAGUAAUGUGUAGAUAACCUGCCCUUAAGAAAGGAAUAACAGUUGGAAACGACUGCUAAUGCCCUAUAUGCCUUUAAUACAUAAGUAUGCAAGGGAAACGCUUUAGUGCUUAAGGAUGGGUCUGUAUGGUAUCAGCUUGUUGGUGAGGUAAUGGCUCACCAAGGCUAUGACGCCUAACUGGUUUGAGAGGAUGAUCAGUCACACUGGAACUGAGACACGGUCCAGACUCCUACGGGAGGCAGCAGUGGGGAAUAUUGCACAAUGGACGAAAGUCUGAUGCAGCAACGCCGCGUGGAGGAUGACACAUUUCGGUGCGUAAACUCCUUUUAUAUAGGAAGAUAAUGACGAUACUAUAUGAAUAAGCACCGGCUAACUCCGUGCCAGCAGCCGCCGUAA
rnacentral:rRNA from 1 species